UUCUAACGCCCUCAUUUAGCCUAUUUAUAGUCGUGGUUCUGUCCGUGAAUGUGUGAAAAUAAUAGCACGCGCUCCAUCAUGAUAAUUAGCCGAUAAUGCUAAUGCUAAUAGCUACGUGCUAAUCAAGCUAGCUGGCUAACAUACCAGUCAAGUUCAUGUUGUUUGAUCUAAGACGCAGGAAGUAAAACAAAGCAAGACGCACAAAACAAUGUCCACUAAUGUUGGCACUGAAGACACAGAGGAAGAUGAUGUUGAAUUUGUGUCUGAGGUUCCACUUAGACCUGUUCUGGAGUGCAUUGACCUGCUGAGUGAUGGAGACGAUGAUACAGGAGUGUGUACGAUUGAGGAUCAGGUGGACAGACAGAAGGCCCAAGCAGCUUCAACCCUGGACAGACUGGCUCGCCAGGUAGCCGUUGAGAAACAGGAGCGGGCUGAAAAGUGCAAAGCCUUUAAGGAGAAGAUGAUCUCGCAGCAAGCUCACGGCCGUCACGAGCUGGCAGCGAGUCAAUAUAGCAACGAGGACAGCAACGAUGCCAAACGUUGUGUGGACAUCUGGCUGAAAAUGCCAGGAUUAAAGCCUGGUAUCAUUAAUAAUGGCAUUGGCUGGAGGCGCAGAUCUGCUCCCAGUCCCUCGUUAAGAUCCUCCCCUCAAACCUGCCCUGUCAUUAACUGUGGAAGAGUAUAUGAAAAUGGCCCUCUGCUUGAGGGUCACCUUAAAAGAUUUGACCACUCUCCAUGUGACCCUACUAUCAUGCUUAAGGGCAAUCCUGCUUCUGUGUAUGCCUGUGUCGCAUGUGGGUGUCACUUUGACACCAGAGAGCACUGGAGAAUGCAUCUGGACUCUCAGUUGUCCUUGUCUGAUACUGGUGGUCAUGACAGCUCUCAGACCUGCCAGGUGAUUGUUUGCUUCGCUUGCCCUGCCUGUUUCCUCCUCUUUAACAUCAAAGAUGAGUGUCUUCAGCACAUAACAGCCAAAAACCACUUCACACAGUCUGUCUCUCUACACGAGAUGAAGUCACCAGGACCAAUUCCAGUUCCACGAUAUGCAAAGAACCGGCUAAUUGCUUUAUGUAAAGAUGUCGCAUUUAGUGUCAGAUGCACAGUCUGCUCAAAGAUGCUUACUUCACACAUGGAAGCCAAGGCUCACUUCAAUGUGCAAUGCAGACAAGGUUGUGCUUUUGCAGAAGGUGAUAAAAGUGUGGUUGAAGUCAUGAAGCAGCUCACAGUUUUGGGCCAGUGCUCUGCUUGCUCCAAAAUCUUCCUAUGCCAAAGACAGAUAGAGGAACACAAAGAACAAACUCAGCACGAGGUGGAGAUGAUCCGCAGCAUAGAGCGAGCACUGUUAGUGUACAGCAAUUAUGGCGAAAUCCGACAAAACGUCAAGGCUACCACCAGUCACUCCUCUAAACAUCCAAGUGCAACCAGAUCUUCAUCGCAUAAGGAUAGAAGAGACAAAAACGACGGUCUUUGGUCCCCUGCCAAGCGGCAGAAAAUCUCAAACUCAAGUCCUCAAACUGCUUGUGAUAGAGCCUCGAACAUUGCCUGGUUCUGUGAAUGUGGCCUACAGUUCCUGGAAGAGGAUCAAGCUAGCAAGCAUCUUCUAGCAGCCAACCAAAUCUUUCACAAGUGUGCCGUCUGUGGUAAGCUAAUGGGCGAAUCGUCCAUUGCGCGUUUGCACAUGAGCCGGUUCCAUGGUGGUGCUCAUCUGUCCAACUUCCUUUUCCACUGCAGGCUGUGCAAAUUAGACAUGCCAAGGAUUGAGCACAUCCUGUCUCAUGUUGGUGUUUCCCAUCAAGGGCACACCUUUUAUGAAGAAAGAGAAAAAACUAAAAAGGAAAAGUUGUUUUGUCCUCCUCAGAAACCAUCCACCACUGUCAACAGCAGACCAGCCGUUUCCACUCCACAUGAUAUCAGAAACAAGGAACGGUGGCUGUGCCGAAUGUGCGAGGAAAUAUUUGACUCUGAAUCCGUGGUCCUCAAGCACUGCAGCGAUGUGACCAGUCACAGCUUUCAAAGGUUCGCUUGUGGCCACUGUCCCCAGAAGUUCUUCAAAGAGUCGACGCUCCGCCGGCACUGUGCUAAUGAGCACAAUAAUCAGCUGCUCCUUCGCUACUUCUGUGGACUCUGUGACAGCAUGCUAUAUGACACUGAGCAGGAAUUCCUUGAGCACUAUGCCAGCCUGCACAGCAAGGAUUAUUACCACUUGGACAAAACGGGGAAUGGAACUUUUUCAGUCCCAGACAGUUCCGACGAGGUACCGACAACAAGUAAAAGCCUUCCCCAACUCUGUCCAUGCAUGGGCUCGCAAAAAGCCAAAGACGAAACCAAGUCCACCUUUACCAGAUGCAUGAAACAGCUCGCCAUAGAAGGCAAAUGCGGAUACGUCUGUCACCAAUGUGAAGCCAAAACAGGCUCUUACGCAGAAAUGAAAACGCACAUAUAUUUGAAGCAUGAGGCCCUGGGCAAGGACAAACGCUUUAGUGUUGUCUGCGAGUCAUGUUCUGAGAGCCAUACGGACGUGCCCGGGUUCCACUCACAUUACCAUGCCCAUCACUGCUUACUGGAACCGUGUAUGUCCUCUCGAUGUGGUGGAUCAAGCAAGGACGAACCCCUGCUCAUGAAGAUUCUGAACACGGAGGAAAUCUCUACAAAAGCCGAGGAGUUUCAGGAUGUAAAGACAGCCAUUGCUUCAAGCACCAUUUCCGAAGAUAAGCAGGAAAACCGUUUGUUUCCUCAGGUGAAUAUGAUGAGGAAAUAAAAUUGGCUUUGGCUUUAAGUGCAGAAGAAGCAAAGAAGCCAACAUCAUUUGACCAGGAGAUGGAAGAGGCUCUGAAGAGAAGCCUGGUGGACUUUUGAUCAGAAGCCACACACACACACACACACACAAUUUGUCUUUUCAUUUCAUUUCAGUUGUUCAUGUAAUGACUGUAAGCUGUUAAAUAUUUUUGUCAAUGUGUUCUGAGGAGAAAAUAAAGAAAACUAAGCUUAGCU